rnacentral:rRNA from 1 species
AGAGUUUGAUCAUGGCUCAGGAUGAACGCUGGCGGCGCGCUUAACACAUGCAAGUCGAACGAGAAAUUUAUAUUGGAACCUUCGGGUGAAGAUAUAAAUGGAAAGUGGCGGACGGGUGAGUAACGCGUGGGUAACCUACCUUGUACAGGGGGAUAACAGUCUGAAAAGGCUGCUAAUACCGCAUAAGACCACAGUAUCGCAUGAUACGGUGGUAAAAGCUGCGACGGUACAAGAUGGACCCGCGUCUGAUUAGCUAGUAGGUAAGGUAAUGGCUUACCUAGGCAACGAUCAGUAGCCGGCCUGAGAGGGUGAACGGCCACAUUGGAACUGAGACACGGUCCAAACUCCUACGGGAGGCAGCAGUGGGGAAUAUUGCACAAUGGGGGAAACCCUGAUGCAGCGACGCCGCGUGAAGGAAGAAGGUUUUCGGAUCGUAAACUUCUAUCAGCAGGGAAGAAUAAAUGACAGUACCUGACUAAGAAGCCCCGGCUAACUACGUGCCAGCAGCCGCGGUAAUACGUAAGGGGCAAGCGUUAUCCGGAAUCCCUGGGUGUAAAGGGUGCGUAGGCGGUACAAUAAGUCAGAUGUGAAAA